AUACGAAGGGUGCGAGCGUUAAUCGGAAUUACUGGGCGUAAAGCGCGCGUAGGCGGUUGGAUAAGUCGGAUGUGAAAGCCCCGGGCUCAACCUGGGAAUUGCAUUCGAAACUGUCCGGCUAGAGUAUGGUAGAGGGAAGCGGAAUUCCACAUGUAGCGGUGAAAUGCGUAGAUAUGUGGAGGGACACCAGUGGCGAAGGCGGCUUCCUGGACCAAUACUGACGCUGAGGUGCGAAAGCGUGGGGAGCAAACAGGAUUAGAAACCCCAGUAGUCC
rnacentral:rRNA from 1 species